AUCGAACGCUGGCGGCAGGCUUAACACAUGCAAGUCGAGCGAGCGGCGGACGGGUGAGUAAUGUCUGGGAAACUGCCUGAUGGAGGGGGAUAACUACUGGAAACGGUAGCUAAUACCGCAUACCAUCAGAUGUGCUCAGAUGGGUUGAGCUAGUAGGUGGGGUAAUGGCUCACCAAGGCGACGCUCCCUAGCUGGUCUGAGAGGAUGACCGGCCACACUGGAACUGAGACACGGUCCAGACUCCUACGGGAGGCAGCAGGAGGGAAUAUUGGGCAAUGGGCGAAAGCCUGAUGCAGCCAUGCCGCGUGUGUGAAGAAGGCCUUCGGGUUGUAAAGCACUUUCAGCGAGGAGGCGUUACUCACAGAAGAAGCACCGGCUAACUCCGUGCCAGCCGCCGCGGUAAUAC
rnacentral:rRNA from 1 species